GGAGAUCUCGGGUGCUGUCUCCGGACGUGCAGUCCCCAGGGGAGCUUUUGGGACAGUCUUGGGAUGUGGAGAACAAUUGGUUGGGGUGAUGGGGGAAGAAACGCCCGCCACAUGGGGGAGAGUGGAGACUGGGAGCUGUAGCGCUGGCGCCUUUGAGGGAAAUAUGGCGGGUGGGGGCGGUGGCUUUUCCCCGGAGGCCCAGUGUGGGGCGGCGGCUGUGGAGUCUCACAAAGGAGAACCUUUGCGAGUGGAGGGUUUCCUUGGGCUUGUGGUGGGGGGUGUAGUCCUGGAUGAGAGUGAGAGUAGGGGGAGAUGGGAAUCACUGCAGUUCAUCUUUGGGCGGAGACAAGCUGAGAUGCUGCGAUCGGAUUUCUUCCCGUCGGCUGGCACACCUUGGAGGAGGGUUUUUUGGGCUUUACGAUCUGCCUCGCCUUCUUGUUCUGGGGAGGUCCAGAAAAAUCUCACUCAUACUCCCUUUUUUCAGGCUUAUCCCUCAGAGCUCGAAGUUUCCUGGUAUCAUUUGGCUCCAGAAACACUGGGUUUUAGUGGAUAGGACAUUAAACAGGAGGCGAGGAGAUCAUGACUGUCAGUUUUAGGUUUUGUAAUGCCUGUGCCUCGAUUUACCAGUUUGUAAAAAUGAUGGCUUCCCCGUUCUCACGAACGCACCGUUAUGACAAAUGGAAGGAUCUUCUGUUGAACGAAAUUAUCUAAAAUGAUGUGUAGUAGCCGUAUUUUGGUCGAGUCCCCAAGCUUGGAAUGCGUGUUUUACUUUAUUGGAAAUCUUAACCUGAUUCAGGCGCAGAACUGAGGCUUGAGUCUUUGAAUUAGGCGAUUCCAGGAGAGUCUGUAUUUUCUUUUUUGCAUAUGAAUUAAAUGGUUUUAUGCACAGUUUUGAACAGUUCCUCUUCUGUUUAUUGCUUCUUUGUCCUGAAAGGUUCUUUAGUAAUUUUUCAGAACUUUAUCGAAUGGCCGUUGUGUCUGUUCAGUUAGUCCCAGGCAGUUUCCUUUUCAACAUAACUCCUCUUCCCACCCCUCCCCUUCGCAUACACCCACAUAUCACACAUUGGACCUAGGUACUUGUUACCCGUACAUCCAUUAAAUUGCACUGUAUUAAAAACCAGCAUUACGUGGUCUUACACAAAUAGAUUAUUUCUAAUGUUUUUUUUUCCCGGGGGGGCGUGUGGCGGGGUGAGACGUGGUUGGAGUCAAAUGCCUUGACCCAUCUCGUAAUUACUUAAGCUACUGAUUUUUCGAAAUUUUCUUCUCAAGUACUUAAGCCAGUUAUUUUUUAAAAUGUAAGGUAGGGCCCUUGGUUUCUUGAAUAGCGUCAGGGCUAGUCCCCCUGUGUCAUUAGAAAUUAGAAAUCAGGGAUUUAAAAAUUAGAGGGAGAAGGCCUCCAGAAGUCAAAUUUAGGAAAGACACUGCACUGAAUUUUUUCUUGUAAAUCUUUAAGUUAUUGGUAUUGAACGAGGUUCCUUUUGGAAGGGGGAGGGGUAAUAAAAGGGGAGAAGUACAGCUCAAGGUCAGUUUGUCUUUAUUUCAGUGUUUAAAAUUCAAACAAAUGUAGGUAUACUUGUAACGGAGUUGUUUUUUCCCGCCUUGUGCCCCAGAUCGGUUUCACCCUUAAUCUACCAGUGCCCUUGCGAGGAAACUUAACAUUAUAUUUGAAUACUUUCGGUUGUAUAGAGAUUUAGGCUGUGAGUAAACUUGAUGUGAUAACAAAAAGAAUGUGGAGGUUUUUUUUUUUUUUUGAAACGGAUUGGGAAACUCAUGAUUGUAGUUUCCAAACAAAUCAUAGUUUAAUGAUAAUUGUAUUUUGGAGUUGAGUGCUGAGGAUUUAAAAGCAAGAUCUUUAUUGGUUAUUCAACAUAGAAUGCUUUUGAUAGAGCCACAUUAUUACGUUGUUCAAAUGUUAGAUUUCCCUUUCAGAAUCUAAAGGGGAGGGACAUAGGACCUACAAUGUGGAGAAGAACUAUAGAGAACUCUGACAAUUGGGAGCUUAAGAAUCAGUGGAAAGGAAGAGGAGGAGGAAGGUGCAACAGGAGUAAGCCUGUCUCUACCUGUAUCCACAGAUGCAUGUUGUUGUUGUUGGUUGUAGAGUCGGUUCUGACACAUGAUGGACCUCAUGUGUGCAGAGUAGAAUGAUCCAUAGGGUUUUCAAGUCUGUGACUUUUGAGAAGCAGAAUGCUGGGCCUGUCUUCAAAGGAGCCUCUGGGUGGGUUUGAACUGCCAACCUUCAGCUAAUAGUGCUUAAGUGUUUCUGCCACCCAGGGACUCUAGAGAGUCAUAAAACCAAAACCAAACCCGCUGCCGUCGAGUUGAUUUCGACUCAUUGCAAUCCUAUAGUACAGAGUAGUACUGCUCCAUAGGGUUUUCAAGGAGUGCCUGGUGGAUUUGAACUGCUGACCUUUUGGUUAGCAGCUCUUAACCACUAUCCCACCAGGCUUUCCCUUUAGAGGCUAAAAAACCAAAAACCAAACCCAGUGCCAUCGAGUCGAUUCCGACUCAUAGCGACCCUAUAGGACAGAGUAGAACUGCCCCAUAGUUUCCAAGGAGCGCCUGGCGGAUUCGAACUGUUGACCCUUUGGUUAGCAGCCGUAGCACUUAACCACUACACCACCAGGGUUUCCUGUAGCGCCAUAGGUUUCCUUUAUUGAGUGCAGUGAAUUCAGUUUUGUGUCUGGUAACAAAAAAUGAUCCCAUAGUCCUGGUCACCAAACAAAGUUUACUACCAGGUGUGGGGAGUAGGAAAAGAUGAGGAUGCAUUUGAGUGAUUUGUUUUCUGGGUACUUGGAUAUAAAUGUUGGUUUCCCAAUAGUCCGUGCUUUUCUCCUCGUUUCUGUAUUUUGCAUGCUGUGUUGAGUUUAAUGCCUAAACUCCUUUUUAGCCUUACUUACCUAUCCUGGGAGAUUGGAAUCAAUUUAUAUAUAUCUAUAUAUAUCUAUCUAUAUAUAUUUUUUUUUUAACGAUACUAGAGGAGGAGCUAAGCUUUGUACAGGAAAAGGACAAUUUCGGGUUGCGGUUAGAAAAUAUUGAAGUUUGGGGCCAAUAAGAUUGUUCACCUUGGAGAUCAAAUCCCCCAUCCCGUCACUUUAACAAGUCAGUAGCUUAAGGAAUAAACUACUGGUGCAAUGCUGGACUGGUAGGCUAAAGGCUUGGUAGCCUGCUUCCAUUAGGAUUACAGCCAAGAAAAAGAAAUAGAGCAGUUCUACUCUAUAACACAUGGGGUCACCAUGAAUCAGAAUCCACUUGAUGGCAACAGUCUUAAGGAAUAGGUUUUUAUCUUAGUAGUAGUAAUGUUAAGCAAGUUGAUCCAUCUCUCAGCAUUCCUGAACCAAGUCUUACCUUUUGUGUAUAUGAACCAUGUUAAAGAAAAGUGGAGAAUAUUAGAAAGGAAAAAAGAAUGAGUACUUUUCCCAUUUUGGGGAGUAGAGGGGUCAGCAUAAAUUACUUUUGGGCUUGUGGGGUACUUGAUGGUUUUGUUCCUUCCUUUUCUCCACUCCCUGUGAAAAUUGGCUCCAUGGGAAGUAGGGGUAAAGUUUUGAUGAUCACUUUUGGUUCACUUGGAUGCAUGAAUGUGUCAGUUCCAGGAAUGCAUCUGUUCUGAGACUGUUCAGUGAAAGCUGUCAUUUUCAAACAUCAGAGCCCCACUUCCAGCUUAUUCUGAUUGAAUGGUGGGGGCAUGUUUUGAAUUAACUCCUUAAUACAUAUCUUGUUGGGAAAAAGUGAGUAAUAGUAGAUUAACUUUAAUAAUGAGUUUAAAAAUAUUAAGAAUAAACACCAAAUCUUUGUUAAUUCUUAUGUUGGUAUUUCAGCUAGUAGACUAGCUUUGUUGAACAAAUUUUAUUUUUCUCCUGCUUAACUAAGUACACAGAAUUAGGUAAUGACAUUUUAAAAAGAGCUUUAAAAAAUCAAGUUUUAGCCUAGGUAUUAAAUUAGAUGUUCUUCUGUGUGCACUUCAGACUUGUACACAGUAUGGUGUACAUUGAACAUGUUUCAUUCUGGUUUGUGUUAUAAAAUUAUGGAAUAAAAUGAAAUAACUGCAAUUGGGGGUAUUGGGUAAAUUCUUACUACUGUGAGCAUUCUUUGGCACCUUUUUCACCUGUCUAUGACAAAGGUCUCAGUUUGAACUCUGCUAUGGGGAAGAGUACUUAUGACAGGUAUUAAGCUGAGCAAAUUUUGGGUUUAGUAAAUACAAGCAAGCACAUUGAAAGUCUGUACAAACAAGCUGGCUUUUCAUAAUUGUUUUGUAGCUUGGUCAAGGGCUUAUAAAAUACCUUUAAAUGUCCUGGUUUUAAUCUGGUAUAGCAAUCCAAAUUUCAGCCUAGUAAAUUAAUGUAUCUGACUUUACAAGUGAGUUUUAAAUACUUUAAGAAGCUGAUCUGACUUAAAAGGAGAGCUGUAAGCAGAUUUUGCAGGAAUUUUUUACCUUAUAUCUCAGAAAACAGAGUGUAUGUGUAGGUUGAGUUUUUAAAUUAUGCAUUAUGUAAUGCCAUAUUUAUAUAGUGCUUCACAGUUCCCAGUACACUUUCACAGAAAUUUUUAUUUCAUGUAACAACAUUGAAGUAGAGUGUUACAUUCAUUUUAUGGUUCAGGAAAGUAAAUUUGAAAAGAUAAAAUAAUUUGUUUUCCUCUAUGAUCACUUGACUGGUUGGCUAGUAAAUGGCAAAGCCAGAACUUGGCUUUCUGCUGACCUUUAGACCAAUCCUCUUGCUCCUUAGCCACUGGCAGAAGACCUACCUGUAAGUCAGGUGGUACUUUCUGAGGCUUAUGCUAGUUUCUUUAGCAGUGGUUUCAAAUAAGUAAUACGUCUCACUUUUCUAAAGAAACUUGGUUCUUUGUUUUCAAAACGUAAACCCCAACUCAAGCCACGGUGAAUGAAGGCUUUAGGGGAUCUCAGAAUUGUGUGUUUACAUACAGGUCCUAAGACCUACUUUCUUUAAACACCAUGGUUAUCACAGUGUCUGUACUGGAGUAUGGCUAGUGGCAUGCAUUUCUGUAAAGUACUUUUUUAAGGCUUUUUUUCCCUUUUGUCUUCACGAAUGUAAGGGUUAAGUUAAUGAGGUGGUUAUAAAACUUUUAGGAGGGGAGAGAUUGGCAAAUGAUUCACAGAUGUUCUAAAUAGUAACCUAGGUAGCUGUCAAACAGAAUCUAUUAAGGAGUAAUGAGAAACUAGCAACAAGAAAUAAUUACUUUUACUGCUUUUGAAGUGGUCAGUUACCAGUGUGAUAGGGUAGUUGAAUAUGGAUAUAUUUGACAAAUUGGGUUGUCUACACAACUUUUUGGUUUAUGCUUAUAACUAAAUAUCCAGGCUAGUCAUGCUUCUAGGAAUGAUUUCAGAAGCUCAUUUAAAUUUACUGAAUUGUAACGACAACUGCCUUAAUAAAAGAGUCGUCAUGGUGAUUUAUUGCCCAAAUUAGGACAUCAGUGAAAGGAAGGGGUGCUGAUUAAUAAUUAUGCUGGGACAGCAGGUACAAACUAAGAUUAUCCUAGGUGGCAAACUUAUGGUCAUCCUACCUAAGACCAUUUGUUACUGCUAGUUUUCUUAGAUUAUAUGAAAGUUUUUUUAAACUUUGUCCAUCCCUCUACCACUGAGAUAGGUAGCUUUGCUCUAAGCUCCCAGAAGAUAAUUCUUUUUUUCUCAAAUGAAGUUAGCGUUUGGCAGACAGAUUAAAGGCUAAGUGAAAGAUUUUCCCCUCCCCAACAACAGGGAACUGGAAAAGUCAAGGAUAUGGUAGUUGCUGAAAAUAGAGCUCGCUGGCCUUCCAGUUAGUGAAUCUGUACUGAUAGUGUCAAAGCCAAGUAUGUUGGUUUUGUUAUGAAUGUCAGCUUUGAGCUAGUUUUGUAUUUAAAAAAGUAAUACACUUGGUGUUAGCAACAGUGUUCUAAAUUCAUAAUUUUUUCCUUCUAUACAAUUAAAAAAGAAGUCUCACCUACAGCUUGUUACGAUCAUUUUGUUUAGACUACUGAGUCCUGUAUAGUUUAGAAAACAUUUGACCCAGUUUAGCUUUUCUGAAAUUUAAUCUUGAAUUUAUUGCUAUUCCAGUGAUUGAUUGCAGUAUUUGGGCAGAUAGAUCUGCCAUUGGUAGGCUUAAUUUAUGGUCAGGUCACGAUUUUAUGUAGAAACCUAUCCAGUUUUUUCUUCAUUUAUAUGUAAUAUUUGAAGGAGGCACUAUGAACAAGAGUUAUGACACUAUUUCAUAGGUUGGCAGAUGUGUUCCAGUUUGUAGUUUUGAACAAAUAGUUAAACCUCUUGGAGCUUUAGGUUUCUCAUCUGUAGAAUGGGGAUUAAUGAUGUCUGCUUUACCUACUAAUUUACAAGUUGGUUAAGAUAAUCGAGGGCUUCUGGAAACUAUAAAAUGUAAUACUUGUCAGGUAGUACUUACUGUGAAAAAUUCUUAGUGGCUGAAGUGAAAGGUCAAAUAAAUGUCUUUGCUACCUAUCUACUAGGGUCAUAUUAGGAGAAAAUAAACCUACUUUUUUGAGUUAUUCUUAGCAAGUGUACUCUCAUGGUCUUAGUCCAACUAAGUAACAUUUGCAUAAAGAUAUAAUUCUCAAAAUACUUAAUUUUAGCAUAUCUGAAAAUUUGCAUACCCAGAAAGUGAAAAUUGUCCACAUUGUUUACUCCCAAGCAAUAUAACUUACACUUUUGUCACGUUGAGCGAGUAUGCAGUUCUUUUGAUAUUAAUUCCAGGUUAACAUUUGGGAGAAUAUACCUAUUUCCCAAGCAAAUAUAACAUCUUUUGUGUAUGGGUUUUUGGAUGAGCGGUUUCACAGUAUGAAAAUGUAAAAGUGAAUAAAUGUUAAAAUAUUUGUAGGUUAGCAGUCUCAGAUUACUGAUUAAGAAAAGAAACGGUGUUACAUGUGAUGAAUUUUGUGAGAUGUGAAUCCAAAGGCUUAGUGUAAACUUUGGGCAGUGAAUGGGCUCCGAUUAAUAGAAAGCUACAGUGCUACUUACUCCCUGGUGGUUAGUCUUUUGAGGACUUUGUAGGGCCUUGGCAUGGUUGUGGUGGACACCACUGUGUUGUCAAAAUGUAAAGUGCUCUACUUAAGACUUUGUGGUAUUAAUUGUAUUUGGUUAUAACAGGUUAAAAUGUAAAUUAAAUUAGGUACUAAAAGUUUAUAAUGAAAUUACCUUGAAAUUCUCAAAAUCAUUGUGUUUCUGACCAGAAAACAUUGUUUUAUGACACUAAUGACCUCGCUUUUAUAGAUCUUUCAAAAGGUAUUCACUAAUGUGAAAUAUUUUUUUCUGGGCAAAAUAGACUUUUUUUUUACACUACUUUAAAAGUACAUCUUUAUAAAGAAAAACAACCCGUUGUCGUCGUUUGCACUCAUCCUGACUCGGUGGCCUUCACAAUCGUGUCAGAGUAGAACUGUGCUCCAUGGAGUUUUCAGUGAACUGGCUUGACUCUGGGUGGUGCAUUUAAUGCUAACUGGAAGGUUGGUGGUUUCAGUCCACCCACAGGUGCUUUGAAAGAAAGGCCUGGUAGUACACUUGUGAAAAAUCAGCCACUGAAAACCUGUGGAGCACAGUUCCGCUCUGACACACAGGAGGUCGCCAUGAGUCAGAAUGUGUGCAGACACCAUGGCGACUGGUUACAUCUCUACAGAAGCACUGAAAUUUUGAUGAGAGGUUCUUGGCCAUUCAAAGACUUAGGGGAAAAAAGUCAAAUUAAUAAAUCUGAAUCGAUAGUAUUAUGCUUUUACUGUGUCAGUGCAGUUGUUGCUUCUGGUCAUUUAUUUCCUGAUGUAUUCCAAAACAUAAUUUUAAGUUUUUUUUUUUUUUUUUAAUGUCUUCUCUAGUUUCACAAAAAAUGGAAAAAGAAAUUUAGACUUUGAUCUCUCUUUUUCCCCAUAAUUCAGUGCUUUGGGUCAUUUACUUCCUCAGCCUCUUCCUUUCCAUGUCUACUUCCAGUGGAGCCUUUUUGAUUCUACUACAGCUAGACACAUUUGACUUCCUGAGGGAAUGUCUUCAAUUCUAAGAGAAGUCUUCUGUUUUGGUGGAGUAAGAGGCCCCUCUCCCCUUAAAUAGAGUCUGAUGGGAGAGAUCCGUUUCUGUAGGCAAAAUUGUAGGCUUUGGAUAAAAAAUUGUCUUUUUUUUUUUUUUUUUAACCUAGCCGUAGCUAGUUUGCAAGGUUUUAAAGCUCAUUAGAGGGCCAAACGAUUUAUUUUUCCUCUUUCUAGGGAAGGUAUGAGUUAAUUUUAGAGUGAGGAGAGGCAUCUCUAUUCAGGCUGGUAUGUGAAGAAGAAAGUUUUACGUAAUUCCUGUGAUGAAAAUAUAUACAACAAAACGUAACACUAGUUUCAAAAUAGUGUUUUGAAAAGCCUUAGUGAAGGAUUAAAAAGGAAGUUCCAAACACAUUUGACAAACAUACGUUGAGUGCCAACCAUGUAUUAGGCACUGUUCUAGGCUCUUUGGGGGAAUCAGUGAAGAAAAUAGACAAAAGAUCUCUUCGCUGAGUUUAUAGUCUAGUGAAUGUAUAAAUGCUUUUAAAAUCACUCUUCCGUUAGUAUGUGUAAUUAAGAGUUAAUUUGAAUUAGUCAAUAGCACCAAUGGUGGCUGCUCUAUGGAGGGCACUAUAUAGGGUCCCUGUGAGUUGGAAUCAACUGUGCAGUGAUGGAUUUCGCUUUGGUUUGUACCAGGUGCUGGUCCCUGCUCCAUAUCAAAGGCUGUAGGAAGCCUACAUUGAUUACAUUACUUCACUAUUAGCCUAAAGUGGUACUGACAAGUUGAAAAACCAUUAAGCAAUUAUUUUCAUUGAUAAUAAAACCCUGCAACAAUAAUGGCACCUACUAUUUUUUGGAGACUGUGCUAGGUACUAUGUUAGGUGCUUACCAGUGUCACUUAAUCCUCAAAACAACCCUGCAAAAUUGGUACCACCCUAUUUGACAGAUACGGAUUAAGUACUUUAGGAAAAAUGACAACAAAUAGGUAACAUCACUGGGAUUCAUGCACGUCUGUUUCAUUCCAAAGCCUGUGUUCCUUCCACUUUCAUAUUUGCUGUAUAUACUAUUAACAGUAAACAAUUCAGACAGCUUGCAACUUUAUUUCUGUUCUUAGAUUUUUUCCUUCGGUAGAUGAAUUUUAUUGCAUCUUAAAAAUAUCACCAACAGGUCUUAGAAUCAUUCAGCCUCGUUUCUGUAGCUAGGUAACUCUUAAAUCUUAGUCAUCAGCCUGUUAAACUGUUCCCUUUUCAGAGACAUAGAUGUGAUUCAGAAAUUUUUGAUAGCCUUGUUUUUUUCUGUUUUGUAGAUUUUAAUUUUAUGAUUUUUUAAAAGGUUGCUUUGACCAGUCUUUUGACUUAAUUUCUCUCUGUUAAAUUAUUAAGUAAUAAAGUGCCAUCUUUCAUGUAUGAAGACAGUAAAAGAAUAGGUAGGCUGAGUGUAUUUUCCAGUGGAGGGGAAAUGUUAGAUAGUGGAAUGAGCACUGGAUCAGGAGUCAUUUUAGGAGGGAGGGGCGUCUUGUCUAUUUCAAGUUUUACUUUGACUUCUGUUGCUUUAGACAUGCCACUUAAUCUUUCAAGGACUGUUUUCUCAUGUGUACAACCAGAGAUUUCUGAAAGCUAUUAUGAAUUUACAGGCUGAAACAUUUUGAGUACAUACUACAAGGGUGGAGGGCUAUAAAACAAAUCUAAUUCAGCUGUGGAUUGAGUCUACAAUUUUGGAUUCUACUCCAGCCAACUCAGCUACUGGUCCAUAUAAUAGAGAAGCUUCCAUUCUUCAAAUUUGUGUUCAUAUUUCUACUUGUGUUUUUUUAAAAAAAAAAACAAAAACCAUUGUGUUUAAUGAACUAUAAAGGUCGGAAUAUAUGAAACUGCCAGUUUCAAUCAUUUUUUUGACCUACCUUUGUCCUGGGGUGAGAGCUAGAAGGUGAGGAUUCAUUUACACCCAUAAAAGCCUCAAGGCUUUUUAGGAAACACUGGGAUUUUUGACAGACUGUACGUAAAUACUUUCUCCCAGAAGUUGGUUUUGCUUUUUGAUUUUUUACCUGAUUUCACUUUUCGGGUCUAUCUUCUGCCUCCCCGCCUCCCCCUGGAAUAGUGGGUUCAUAUUUGCUAUUUUUGCAGUUCUGUUUUUAAAAAAAUUAUUUGCAGUUUUUUUUUAAUGCAGCACUUUCAGGGUCAUCAUGUUGUACAGCCCCCUGGAACUGUGCAACAUAGGGACCCUCAGGUACUUUUUGUUUUCAAACAAAUGGAAUUUAUCCGUUUUGUUAGUUGUCCGAAUUGACAUAAAGAGAAUGGAAAAGGCUACUUCUUUGUUUUCUGUCCAUUAGAGAAUUGGUCUCAGUGGUAUACUUCACAGUUUGUAAAAUGCAGUUGUAAGAAAACGUCUGGGUUUAAUAGUAAUACCCUUCUUCAGCUGUAACUGGUAGAUUCCCAUUUCAUCAACGUGGAAAUUUUCUUACUGUUCUGUAUUUAAGAACUGUCCCCCCCCCCUUUGUGAGAUGCUUUGUUUCUGGCUUUGAAAUAGAGCUUGCUCUUAUUCUUCAAUACCCUAGCUUUUUCGCAUGGUCAUUUAACAUGUUCAGAUAUUCUUCUGUUUAAUCAAGGAAUAGAGAAAUUAAACAAUGUAGAGCACAAGGUAAACACCAGUGUAACUCCCUGAGGUGUGGGACAAAAGCUUUAGAAGUGGCUGGAUAAGAAGCUCUAGGAACUUAGUGAUACUCAUGUUGAUAUGGCCCUUUACUUUUUCUUUAUGUACUUUUUUAGUGGCUUCUUCAGACAUGUCGAUCGGGAGGUUGGGGAAAUUGCAACAGAGGAUGUUGGCUUUUCCGUCUAGACCAACUGCUGUUAAAUGUUUUUCCUCUUUCCAACAAUUAAUAAAUGUACACCACUAACUUGUUCCCUAUACUUUUACUUCUGUAACUACUUUUCUGCUUCUAUAACUUUUCUUACGACUUUCUUGACCUUCACCUUUCUUCUGUUGCUGACAUUUCUUUAUUCAUUUUGUCUUUACCAUUUAUCCUUGUCUGUCACACUGCGUGAAAAUCCUGGUGGUGAAGCGUAUAAGAGCUAUGGCUGCUGACUGAAAGAAAGGUUGACAGUUCAAAUCCACCAGGCGGUCUUUGGAAACUGUAUGGGGGAGUUCUUCUCUGUCCUAUAGGGAAUCAGCUCGAUGGCAACAGGUUUUAUCUUUCUUCUGUUUUAAGAAUUUUUAAUUUUGUUGAGAAUACACACAGCAAAACAUAACCGAUUCAGCAUUUUCUACUUGUACAAUUUAGUGAUAUUGAUUACAUUUUUUGAGUUGUGCAACCAUUCUCACCCUCCCUUUCUAAGCUGUUCUUCCCUAUUAACAUAAACUCACUGUCCCCUAAGAUUCUUAUCUAAUCUUUUGAAUUGCUGUUGUCAGGUUAAUGCCAUAUAGAUCUUAAAAGAGCAUAAUGCUAAAGACAGACCUUUUUUUUUUUUUCUAAUGAAGCUGAACUGUUGUUUGGUUUUAAGAAGACUUCAGGGGAUAUUUCUGGUUUAAGGUUUAAAGAUUAUCUCAGGGCAGUAGUUUCAGGGGUUCAUCAACCCUCCACGGCUCCAGUAAGUUUGGCUUCUAUGAGACUUUGAAAUUUUGUUUUGCAUUUCCCUCCUUUUGAUCAGGAUUCUUCUGUGGGAUCUCUGAUCAAAAUGUUCAGUAAUGGUAGCUGGGCCCCAUUCAGUUCUGGCCUCAUGGCAGAGGAGGCAGUUGCUCAUAAAGGCAGUUAGCCACACAUUCAGUAUCUUCCUCCCACUUCUGACUCUCCUUCCUCCGUUGCUCCAGGUGAGUAGAGCCCAAUUGUGCCUUAGAUGGCCACUUGCAAGCUUUUAAGACCCCAGACACUAUGCAUCUAGCUCGGAGAGUUACCUGGAAUGUCCCAUGUAGCUAUGACCCUAAACCUCCAAACCAAGGAACCAAAUCUGAUGAGGUGUUUUUCUUUCAACUAUUUUAAAACCUAAAAUAAUUUUGGGACAUAAAUAGUACUCUUCAGCAGUAUAUUUGAGUCCAGCAUGACUCCGAAAAUAAUGAGGAGACUAUUUAAUUUACACCUGUUUUGUGAUCCUCAGAUCAAGUCUGGAUAUAUUAGCAAGUAGAUUUACCUUACUACUCCAACGGCACUGGGUUUUUACUCAGAAAGAUGUGGUUUAAAAUAUUAAAACCUUUCUGUUUUAUAUAUUUGUAUAUAUUAAAAUAUACCUCUAUCCUUAUUUGAUAUCAUCCAGGUUUUUUAAAUUUAAAAAUAAACUGGAAGCUGAUUUACCAAGAGAUACUUGUGAAAUAGAGACGAAUUCUUUGUGUGUAUAGAGAGAUAAUGUUUACCUUUUAUUAGGAGCACAAGUCAUUACCAAGAACAGUAGCUGGUUAAAUUGCAUUAAGAUCAGUUUGGGCAUCUUGGACAUUUUCCAGGUGAUGUAUCUAUUUGAUGUAUUUCCUAUAAAUUUUUUUCAAUUAUAGAAGUAUUUAUAUAUUCAUUGAACAAUUUAAAAAAAAGAAGGAUCUGGGAAGAAAAGUACUCAUAUUACCCAAUGUUUUCUGGGCUUGAGUUCUUAUAUGAUUUCCUUAUAUUGUGUGUGUGUGUGUUUACAUCUGACUUUACUUAAUUUUGUAAUGUGAACAUUUUAUUACAUUAUGAACUGUAACUGUUUUUAUUGGCUAUGUAAUAUAUCCAAUAACAAGCUGAUUUGAGUUUUUGUCUAGUAUAACAACACUGCAAUGAAUUUAUAUCCACACAUAUAUCAUUUUACUGUAACUUGAUUUAUUUACUUAGAGAUUCUGACAUUGAUUCACUGGUCAAAAUGAGUGAAUAUUAAGCAUUUGACAUGUGUUAUCCAAUUGUUUUCUGUAAAGAUUUUAUCAGUUUAUGGUAUCAACAAUUCGAGUGUACAGUGUAGAAUUUUUAACCUACAAAAACGUGUAUCUUAAGAUUUAAAAAUGUAGUUAAAAGAGAAAUUCAGUUUUUCCCACUUUUGUUUUGAUUUUUCUUAUUACAAAAGCAAGAAUUACAUGUGAGAAUGUAAAAAAGCACAGCCGUAUCAAGUAAAUACUGAAAGUUACUCAUUCCUGCCAGAAGUAACUAUUGUUAAUAGUAUUUUUCCAGAACCACUUUUUUUGUGCAAGUGCACACAAACACCCCUUAUUUAUUGACUAAUAUGCCAUCAAUGUUAGAUGCUUCAUUAUUUUAUGUAACACUAAUGAAGAAAAGUGCUACCAGUUGUACCUUGACAGUUAAAAUGUGAAAAAAAGAACUCCUAGAAUAGAUGCUGUACACAUGUACAGUUUAUUCUUUCAUAGAAAUAACAUUGUUAUUCUGCUGCUUGCCUUUUCCUCUAAACAAGAUAUUGUGAGUAUUUAAAAAACACUUCAAAGACAAAAAUCGGAACAUUUUAGCUAGACUAAUAGGAAGACUAAAAGUCUGGUUUGUUCAUCUAGAUCAGUUUACCUUUAUUUUUUAAAAUUAAAAUUUUUUUAUUGUGCUUUUAAGUGCAAGUUUACAAAUCAAGUCAGUCUCUCACACAAAAUCUUACACACACCUUGCUAUAUACUCCUCGUUGCUGUCCGCCCAAUGAGACAGCACAUUCCUUCUCUCCACCCUGUAUUCCUGUGUCCAUUCAGCCAGCUUCUGUCCCCCUGUGCCUUCUCAUCUCCCCUCCAUACAGGAGCUGCCCACAUAGUUUCAUGUGUCUACUUGAGCCAAGAAGCUCACUCCUCACCAGUAUCAUUUUCUAUUUUAUAAUCCAGUCCAAUCCCUGUCUGAAGAGUUGGCUUUGGAAAUGGUUCUAGUCUUGGGCUAAGAGAAGGCCUGGGGAUCAUGACUUCCAGGGUCCUUCUAGUCUCAGUCAGACCAUUAAGUCUGGUCUUUUUUACGAGAAUUUGAGGUCAGCAUCCCACUGCUCUCCUGCUCCCUCAGGGAUUCUCUGUUGUGUUCCCUGUCAGGGCAGUCACCGGUUGUAGCCAGGCACCAUCUAGUUCGUCUGGUCUCAGGCUGAUUGAUGUAGUCUCUUUGGUUUAUGUGGACCUUUCUGUCUCUUGGGCUUGUAAUUACCAUGUGUCUUUGGUGUUCUUCAUUCUCCUUUGCUCCAGAUGGGCUGAGACCAAUUGUUGCAUCUUAGAUGGCCACUUGCUAGCAUUUAAGACCCCAGGCGCCACUUACCAAAGUGGGAUGCAGAAUAUUUUCUUAAUAGAUUUUAUUAUGCCAGUUGACCUGGAUUUUAUUAUGCCAAUAAACCAUGGUCCCCAAACCGCACCCCUGCUACACUGGUCAUCAAAGUGUUCAGUUUAUUCAGGAAACUGCUUUGCUUUUGGUUUAGUCCAGUUGUAUAGAUCAGUCUACCUUUAGAGAAGAACUUCCCAGGAGAUUUUAACGUGCAGCCAGGGUUGCGAACCACUGGAAUAGAUCAGUAGGGGAACGAGGGAAACCAUGAUGGCGUAGUGGUUAAGUGCUACGGCUGCUAACCAAGAGAUCAGCAGUUUGAAUCUGCCAGGCGCUCCUUGGGAACUCUAUGGGGCAGUUCUACUCUGUCCUAUAGGGUCGCUAUUAGUUGGAAUCGGUUCGACGGCAGUGGGUUUUUUGGUUUAGGGGAAUGAGGGCAUUGCACUGUAGUUGGCAGGGAAACGUUACUGAAAGAUGGAAAAGAUUUGGAUGGUGGAGAGGGGAGGUUCUUUUAGAUAUAUCAUCAAAGGCACAGAUAGGGGAUUAAAGCCUGUGAUGCCUAGGAAUGGGAGAUCUGGGUUAGAAAGAAAAACUGGAACCAGAAUAAAUGGAAGGCCUUAUUAGAGACUUAGAUUCCAGGCUCUGUGUUCUUUAUUUGGCUCCUUACUGCAUUAAGCACAUUGUUAACACUCCUGAGUGCUUAGAUCCUCAUGGGUUCCUGCUUUUUGUUUUUGUUUUUUUAAACCUGGGAAGAGAGGCUAGCAAAGAAAAGGAAUUUAACAUACUAAACUGCUGCAAUGUGCCCGGCAAUUUACUGCUCAACCUCAUUUUAAUUCUUGAAGCCCACAGAGAGGUGGGCAUCAUUUUUUCCUAUGUCAUUGGUGAGGGAACAAGCUCAGAGAGGUGAAGUGACACACCUGAGACCAAACAGCGUGCAAAUAAAUAAGAGUGAAAACCUUAUUGAAUCUUCCUGGCUCUUCAGGUGGUGUUUUCACUACCACAGUAUUUCCCACAGUGUGGUGUGUGCCAUUUCGUCCACCUAAUAUAAGUACAAGUGGCAAGUAGAUAAGACAAAAGUAGUGAAGACGUUAGUUACUGAAAUAAAAUAAAACCAAAAAACCAAACCCAGUGCCGUUGAGUCGAUUCCGACUCAUAGCGACCCUAUAGGAAAGUAGAACUGCCCCAUAGAGUUUCCAGGGAACGCCUGGCAGAUUUGAACUACCAACCUCUUGGUUAGCAGCUGUAGCACUUAACCGCUAUGCUCGCUACCAGGGUUUCCUGAAAUAAAAGAAUAGGACCUCUUAAAAAGAGGCUUUACAGACCUUCCAUUAUAUCUCUUGCAUCAUCCUGUUUGUCAGCACACAUCAUGAUUGUAUGUCAGUUUGUUUACUACCCUCUCCAUUCUAAACUUUGCUUAAAGAAAAACAAACCCCAGGAGUGGUUCCUAGGUCUUGCCAAAUUGUUUACCUUAAGUUAUUCCUUCCUUUAGAAUAACUUUUCUUAACAUACUCGAAGAUUGAUCUCAUCAUAUGUGGUAGUUUUAAUUAUGCACAACUGUUGUGCUAGUGAUUACUAUCAUAGCACUUUGUAUCUGUAAGAAAAUAUAAGUGAUGUAAGAUUUCUUAAGUUACAAACCCCGGGUAUUCAUCGCAUUGCUAGAUCUUUUCCAUGUUAUUUAGUGUUAGAAUUAAAGUAGUUAGGAAUUUUUUUCAAAGAUGGAAUUACAGUUUUGAGCACUGUAAGCUGUGUCUUAGUGUCCCAGAGAACCCUUUAAGUGAUUUGGAAGCACACUCACAUUAGUGCAAAUAGUCAGCCUGCUAAAAGUUGUGAUGUUAAGGUGAUGACAUACUGUAACAUCACAACUUUGAGCCAAAGUAAGCAGCUGAAUUACCAUGAAAAAACUAAAAUAGUCAAAUUUAGCAGGGAUUUAGUAUGUAAACUACCAGUAUGGGUCAGCUUAGCAGUCAGAGUUGUUUGUAGCUAGCUUCACCUGAUGGGCUCAUUAGAGUACAGCUCUAUCAAAAAUCAGAUGUUCCAUAGGGAUCAUACUUGAAUGUCUUAUAAUUGAUACUACCUGCUCUUAAAAUUCUUCAGGUGAAACUCCUUUUCUCUGCAUCGUGAUACAGAACUGAUGGUUCCAAAAGAAUAUUCGUCAGUGUGAUAGAGAAGGCGUUUGGUACUUGAGAAACAAUUUGGUCCCUGUCUGUAUGCUCCUAGGCGCUGACAUAAUCAUCUUCACUAACAAGCUUUCGGAUCUUUUAGAAAUCCAUAAAGAAGAACGUUGAUUGUCCUUGACUUAUCUAGGAAUUGACUAUAUUUAAUGCUUGUCAGAAUUUAGCCUAGCUGAUAAAAUUACUUCAUUAACACCUUGGAGGUUGUCUAAGCUUUAUCAGAAAGUAACACAACACCUGGGCACUUAACGGUCUCACUGAUUAAUGAGGUCAAUGUUUCUCUUUUGUAAAUCUAGUUAGACUUUUUCUGGGACUAUUCCUUUUUACAUAAAGGUCCACAUAGUAAAUUUCUCUUAGAAUUUAGUACUUGGAAAUUUUUUUUUCCCAGUAAACUUGGAUAAUUCUUUUUUGCAAAAUACAGUGAAGCAGUUUAACUCAGAACAUUUUAUUGUUGCCUUAUUGCCAUUAAACAUAGCCAAAAUUUGUAUUCUACUUUCUGGUACUUUCUAUGUGUCCUUUUAAAUGAUGCCCUUUUUUAAAAGCAUGGUUUGCUCAGCCUUUAGUUGUAUGGCAGGGUCAUGUGACUAGUUUGGGCCAAUGAAAUGUGAGCAUGAAUUACAGCUGUAACCGUGCAGAGGCAGUGAAAAGCCUUUUCCUGGCUCUCCCUUGCUUCUUUCACCAGGGAAGUCUCAGGUACCAGAUGGCGCAGCUACAAAAUGAUGGGCCCUCACUUAGCCAUGUGAGCGAGAGAUGAAUCUUUGUUGUGUCAAGCCACUGAUAUUUUGAGAGUAAUUUAUUCUGAAGCACACUUAGCCUGUCCUUUGGAAUAUGGAAUUUCCACUUGCAAUUCAGGGCUAUUGGUGCUUUAGAAAAGGUUUAAAACAAUGUUUUUCUCUUUUGUGAUCUCAAUUUUGAGAUGCUAAAUACAUCCAGUCUUCUCUGCCUUCUAAAAUCUCAGAGGAGGCAGGAGUAUUUAAAAAUUACGUGCCACUUUCUCUAAAGAUGAAUAAAAGCAUCCUCCUAGCUGGUAUAUUAAAUAUGUGAAUGCCAUAUGAAGAAGGACAUUGUGAUUUCAUGGCAUGCUUAGCAUAUGAAUGAGUCAUGAAAAGGCAUAUCCUUCACAUUCCUCUCUUCCAUUCUUCCUGUAAUGUGCAGAUUAAUUCUCUGGUAGUUUUUUUUUUUUUAAUCCCUUAAUUUUUAAAUCACAUUUCUCCAGAACUGGGUAUUGAGAUUUUAAGGGAGGCAUUCUAUCUUAUAAAGUUCUCUGGCCAGCCUGAGCCUUUCUUUAGAUGUUUUAGUUUUCCCUUUGGUCCUCAGUCUAGCUAGUCUCAUAAUUUUAUUGUUGGCAUAGGUCUGAGCUUCUCUUUUAUUCUUUUGGGAAUCCACCAAACUCAAACAUCAGGCUGGCUUUUGCUGCUGUACUUUUUACUCCCUUGUAUCGCAGAAAACAAAUGUUUUUCCCGUGUACAGUUCAACGGCCACUCCUUUUCAUACAGUGAUUCCAGCACUCAGUGUUAGCGGUUUCUCUGAUUAUCCUAAGAUGGGGAGAUUCCUAAAAUUUAGACUGUUGACACCCUCCUCCUUCCUUAGCUCACCUUUCCUUACCAUCAAAGGCUAUAAUUCUUUUUUUUUUUCCCCCACACAGGAACUGGGAAAAUACUUGAAGAUGCCGUAAAGGAGCCCUGGUGGUGGAUUGGUUAAGCGCUUGACUACUAACCGAAAGGUUGGCGAUUCGAGCCCACCAUCUGCUCUGCAGGAGAAAGACGUAUCUGCUUCCAUAAAGAUUACAGCCUUGGAACCCUAUGGGGCAGUUCUACUCUGUCCUGUAGGGUUGCUAUGAGUCAGAAUUAACUAGACGACAGUGGGUAUAGAUGUCAUAAGGAGCCCUGAUGAUGCAAAUGGUUAAGUGCUUGGCUGCUAACCCACAGAAUAAAAUACGUAGGAAUAAAUUUAACUAAGGAAGUAAAGGACUUGUACACUGAAAACUACAAAACAUUGCCAGAAGAAAUUCAGAUGCUGGUGAGGAUGCAGAGAAAAUGGAUUGCUCAUACACUGUUGAGAAUGUAAGCUGGUACUGCCACCCUGGAGAACAGUCUAGCAGUUAAAAAAACUAAACAGGUACCAUAUGACCCAGCAAUUGCACUUCUGGUCAUUUUCCCCAGAGAAAUGAAAACAUGUUCUCAGAAAAACCUGUACUUGGAUGUUUAUUUAUUUGUAAUAGCCAAAAACUGGAAACCCCUCAUAUGUC